GAAGACAGUUUUGGAGAAGAUUGUUCCUGCUAGUGAUAAUAAAAAGAAAUAUUACACCAAAGCACAAAAGAUUUCAGCCAUACUACUCCGGGAUACUAAAUUUUUUGAAUGCUUAUGUUGUAAUAUCCAGGACUAGUUUGAAAUUUCUAAGCGUGAUAUAACCAUUUCUAUGAUGAGGAAUUAUCCACAACUUCCUCACAAAUUUAUGUUUGACAAAGCAAAAAUUCACUAUCUACUUGAAAUCAUUGUUCAUAUGAACCUUGAGCGCGAUUCUCUUAAAAGACAACAUCAGAAUUUUACAUCUACUGUCCUUCUGAAGAAAAAGGCAUUCCUUAAGCAUGGUGUAAAGGAAGCUCUGAGAUCUUGUGUAAAAGCUCUGAACUUCUGUGCUAUUGUGAGUUGUGGGGAAUUACAGGACUUUGCCCUUAACAAAUUUAAAGGGAUUGAAGAUGAGCUC